UACGUAGGGUGCGAGCGUUGUCCGGAAUUAUUGGGCGUAAAGAGCUCGUAGGCGGUUUGUCGCGUCUGCCGUGAAAGUCCGGGGCUCAACUCCGGAUCUGCGGUGGGUACGGGCAGACUGGAGUACUGCAGGGGAGACUGGAAUUCCUGGUGUAGCGGUGGAAUGCGCAGAUAUCAGGAGGAACACCGGUGGCGAAGGCGGGUCUCUGGGCAAUAACUGACGCUGAGGAGCGAAAGCGUGGGGAGCGAACAGG
rnacentral:rRNA from 1 species